rnacentral:rRNA from 1 species
GAUGAACGCUGGCGGCGUGCCUAAUACAUGCAAGUCGAGCGAACAGACGAGGAGCUUGCUCCUCUGACGUUAGCGGCGGACGGGUGAGUAACACGUGGAUAACCUACCUAUAAGACUGGGAUAACUUCGGGAAACCGGAGCUAAUACCGGAUAAUAUAUUGAACCGCAUGGUUCAAUAGUGAAAGACGGUUUUGCUGUCACUUAUAGAUGGAUCCGCGCCGCAUUAGCUAGUUGGUAAGGUAACGGCUUACCAAGGCAACGAUGCGUAGCCGACCUGAGAGGCGGAUCGGCCACACUGGAACUGAGACAGGGUCCAGACUCCUACGGGAGGCAGCAGUAGGGAAUCUUCCGCAAUGGGCGAAAGCCUGACGGAGCAACGCCGCGUGAGUGAUGAAGGUCUUCGGAUCGUAAAACUCUGUUAUUAGGGAAGAACAAAUGUGUAAGUAACUAUGCACGUCUUGACGGUACCUAAUCAGAAAGCCACGGCUAACUACGUG